rnacentral:rRNA from 1 species
GAUGAACGCUGGCGGCGUGCCUAAUACAUGCAAGUCGAGCGAACAGACGAGGAGCUUGCUCCUCUGACGUUAGCGGCGGACGGGUGAGUAACACGUGGAUAACCUACCUAUAAGACUGGGAUAACUUCGGGAAACCGGAGCUAAUACCGGAUAAUAUAUUGAACCGCAUGGUUCAAUAGUGAAAGACGGUUUUGCUGUCACUUAUAGAUGGAUCCGCGCCGCAUUAGCUAGUUGGUAAGGUAACGGCUUACCAAGGCAACGAUGCGUAGCCGACCUGAGAGGGUGAUCGGCCACACUGGAACUGAGACACGGUCCAGACUCCUACGGGAGGCAGCAGUAGGGAAUAUUCCGCAAUGGGCGAAAGCUUGACGGAGCAACGCCGCGUGAGUGAUGAAGGUCUUCGGAUCGUAAAACUCUGUUAGUAGGGAAGAACAAAUGUGUAAGUAACUAUGCACGUCUUGACGGUACCUAAUCAGAAAGCCACGGCUAACUACGUG